UUUAGCAGCCAUAUCACCCUGUAGCCCAAGACUGGUUGCCCACUGAAGCUAAGCAGGGCUGAGCCUGGUCAGUACCUGGAUGGGAGACCUCCUGAGAAAACUAGGUUGCUGCUGGAA
rnacentral:rRNA from 1 species